AAUUGGAAGGUGAUGUUUGUUACAUUGCUGUUACCCUCAUUAUUUGGGGAGAAAGAAGAGUUGUUUUUUCCCUUACCAAAGCAGCAAAUACCACUUAGUCCAGUCAUAUUGUCACAAGACGACGAGUGGAAUAUAUCAGUCGACAAAGAAGUUUUCUUUCCUAAAACUAUUUGCACUUUUUCCGCGGCUUUUCAAGCAUGGUUUGCAGCAUUUUGAAUAUUCAGCAUUGAAUUCCCAAAAGGAUUGUCCAAUACAUGUCAAUUUUUAGAAAAAGUGCUUCUUGGUGGGAAAGGAAAAGUGCCAAAUCUUGUCAGCAAACGGGGCAACCGUCUUUUGCACUAAAAUUUAUGACUUUUGUUUUUUGUCUGUUUUUGUUGUAAAUCUUUAUAAUUUAUUUAUGUUUUUUUGUCACUAAAUUCGAAAAAACUUCUGAAUAUUUGCAAUAUUUCUAAA